ACACCGCCCAUCUGGAGCUCAAGCCAAACGAUCACUGACACCCACACACUCACACACACCACUACUCGGGCACAAACCCUUGCACUGCCUCCUGUUGCUCAAUUUCUCCCCUAAAGUAUGUCUCGCGCCGUUGACCAUCUCGUGGCGGAGUACCUCGCUGAGGAGCACCCACGCGUAGCGAGGGCUUUGCGGAAGGACGCGCCAUCGACGGCGCCACCGUUGCGCUCCCCCUUCGGCAAGAAGAGCCUGCAAGAAGUCGUGAUGGCGUAUCGUGUGCAGAAGACCACUCCUGCAGCAGUGGGCAACGGCGCCAGCUCCGAAGAUGACGAGGCGCAACGCGCAUCGCAAAAGACUGCGAAGACGUCGUCACCAUCGCCGAUCCCGAAGCCGACAGCAAGGAAGGUGCCGAUCGCUGACAGUGACAGCGAUGACGAGUCGGUGACGAGACCGGCGGCCAAGAAGACGCCGCCGAAGUACGCUCCGAAGAAGGCGGCCGUGUACAGCGACAGUUCCGACGAAGACGAGCCCGUGCCAAAGAACUCGAGUGCUAGUAAGAUGCCUGCGCCUCGUGCAGAGGAUGUGCCGGCGCAGAAGGCGGUGAGGACGGAGUCAGAAGGUGCGGCGCGACGCACGCCUCAUCACCUCAACGAGGACGGCACCUUCCGUCGUUUCCAGCGCAUCGACCCAGCCAAGGUGACGUUCGACGCCGAUGCCUUGCGUGACAACCGCCCAGGUAGGGAGCACCUCGUGCUGCGCCAGAACCAGGAGAUGAUGCGCACCAAGGGCAAAGGCUUCAAUAAGCUGAAGCAGAAGAACAAGGGAAAGUUCUACGGCGCUGGCGUCGACCUCAGCGUGCGCGCCUACCAGUUCCCUGAUAGCGACGACGAUUAGGUGAUUGUGCAGACGUGGGCUUUGGUGCACGACGAAGACGCGGAUGGGCAAGGAAAGAGCAGAGAGAGGAGAGGCUGGCGCGGUGUGAUGCAGCUGCUUUACUUCGCGGCGUCGCUUAGGGUUGCUGCGGUGACGCUGCUCUGUCGCCGUGUAUUCACAGCUUGGAAGUUUUUUAAGCGUCAGAGCGCGUGCGCACUUGCCUAGCUCUGGCUCUCUCCCUCUUGACCGUAUUCGCCUGUGAAAGGGCGUCCUCGUCUUUUGCCCCCCCUCCCCCCAUACGCUUAGACACGUGCACCUGUUGUUCAAGUGGAGCUCCUCCACACCUCUCCCCCUUUUUCCGCCGAUUAACACUUCCCCGACGCUGGUAAGCAUCCCUGUGUGUGAGACAAAACAAAAAGAAACCUUGAUGGAGUGGCGUUGCUGCAAGGCAGGGUCGUGGCGGCACAGCGCGUGCGCUCGCAUCUGUGUAUGUGUCUCGAUACUGAAUAUGCCUGCGUGGGUGGGCGUAUUUAUUACUUGCCUCUUUGGCGGUCAGAGGCGGCGGGGGGCAUGAUUGUCUACUUGCCUCCUUGAUGCUCUCCUGGUAUACUGCGGGCUUGCUCACCAGACAUCGUUUUUGUCUAGCGUGCGUCUGCCGGCUUGCAGCUGCCAUGCUGAUGUGCCACGGACACACCCAGCCACGAUGCAUGCUGUGUGCGGGGACCAACGGCUGCUGCGCUUGCUUUCUCGUCCUUUUUUACCUGUCAUCGCCUUUGCUUGCUGAACGGCCUCGCCUCCGCUCUCUCUCUCUCGCUGUUUGCCUCCAUGAUGUGUCGUUCACUGCCUUUACACGCGCACAUGCGCUCACGUGCACGUCCUACCCCUCUUUCUUCACCUCACUCAUUGCAACCGCUGCCCAAUCUGACCCGUGCGGGUUACGGUGGCCGCGGCAACCAAG
rnacentral:misc_RNA from 1 species